CCUACGGGCGGCAGCAGUGAGGAAUAUUGGUCAAUGGACGAGAGUCUGAACCAGCCAAGUAGCGUGAAGGAUGACUGCCCUAUGGGUUGUAAACUUCUUUUAUAUGGGAAUAAAAUGUUCCACGUGUGGGAUUUUGUAUGUACCAUAUGAAUAAGGAUCGGCUAACUCCGUGCCAGCCACCGCGGUAAUACGGAGGAUCCGAGCGUUAUCCGGAUUUAUUGGGUUUAAAGGGAGCGUAGGUGGAUUGUUAAGUCAGUUGUGAAAGUUUGCGGCUCAACCGUAAAAUUGCAGUUGAAACUGGCAGUCUUGAGUACAGUAGAGGUGGGCGGAAUUCGUGGUGUAGCGGUGAAAUGCUUAGAUAUCACGAAGAACUCCGAUUGCGAAGGCAGCUCACUGGACUGCAACUGACACUGAGGCUCGAAAGUGUGGGUAUCAAACAGGAUUAGAUACCCCUGUAGUC
rnacentral:rRNA from 1 species